GAACUCACCAGGGUUCCCCUAGUAACUGCGAGUGAAGCGGGAAGAGCUCAAAUUUAAAAUCUGGCGGUUUUGCCGUCCGAGUUGUAAUCUGGAGAAGCGUUUUCCGCGUCGGACCGUGUACAAGUCUCUUGGAACAGAGCGUCAUAGAGGGUGAGAAUCCCGUCCAUGACACGGACCGCCGAUGCUUUGUGAUACGCUCUCGAAGAGUCGAGUUGUUUGGGAAUGCAGCUCAAAAUGGGUGGUAAAUUCCAUCUAAAGCUAAAUAUUGGCGAGAGACCGAUAGCGAACAAGUACCGUGAGGGAAAGAUGAAAAGCACUUUGGAAAGAGAGUUAAACAGUACGUGAAAUUGUUGAAAGGGAAACGCUUGGAGUCAGUCGCGUCGUCCGGGACUCAGCCUUGCUCUUUUGCUUGGUGUACUUCCCGGUAGACGGGUCAACAUCGAUUUUGGCCGGCGGAUAAAGGGGAAGGGAAUGUGGCACCUUCGGGUGUGUUAUAGCCCUCUUCCGCAUACGCUGGCCGGGAUCGAGGAUCGCAGCACGCCUUCAUGGCCGGGGGGUUCGCCCUCACGUAACGUGCUUAGGAUGUUGGCAUAAUGCUA
rnacentral:rRNA from 1 species